rnacentral:lncRNA from 1 species
CAUUUUCUUUCCCAGGGCAGUUGAGUUAGAAGAUUAGCCUCCCUUGCUUACUAAGAGAGGAAAUACUUCUUCCUCUACUCAGGGCAGCUGUAACCAGUUCUCCCAGAGAAAUCAUUAAACCUGAAGGAUCCUAGCACAGAGCCCAGAAGACGUGGCCGCCCUUCUUCCAGUCUCCCAGCUUACCCACUAAUUCAGCGCAGGCACCUUUCAGGGUCUUUACUACUGGCUGCUUCCUGUUCUGUCGCAAAACAAAAACUGUGUUAAGUAACCGAAACUUCUUGAAAUUCUCCUACAAAGCUCCUUUUAUGGAUAAAACUGAGCAUCUGUGUGAUGACAGAACACAGGUAUUCCCAGGAAGCAACACUGAGUAGCCCACAGCACUAACAAUUCCCCCCCUACCGCCCUAGCAACCACAUGAAUCCAUCAAAUCAGAAGAAAAAUAUGCCAAGAUCUCUGUGCAUGCUUAUCGCUGCAAAAUCAGGAGACUCCCUGGGGCAAGCAGAGAGUGCACGUCCUUCUAGGCCCUAGAAGACUCUAGAAUCUAGGACAAAGGGAAAGGGUCUGAAAAAUGACUCUACCUUCCACCUAACUCCCAUCAUAAAAAUGACAUCUUGUGAUUUUUCUAGGUUUGGUUCUAAACA